rnacentral:rRNA from 1 species
AACGAACGCUGGCGGCAUGCCUAACACAUGCAAGUCGAACGAGACCUUCGGGCCUAGUGGCGCACGGGUGCGUAACGCGUGGGAACCUGCCCUUAGGUUCGGAAUAACUCCCCGAAAGGGGUGCUAAUACCGGAUAAUGUCUUCGGACCAAAGAUUUAUCGCCUUUGGAUGGGGCCGCGUUGGAUUAGCUAGUUGGUAGGGUAAAAGCCUACCAAGGCGACGAUCCAUAGCUGGUCGGUGAGGAUGAUCAGCCACACUGGGACUGAGACCCGGCCCAGACGGGUAGGGGCAGGGGGGGAUGUGGAUAUAGGGGAACGAGCGUGAGGCUGGUACGGCUAGUGGGGGGGGGCGGUCAUGGGGUUGGGAACGCAAAGCGCUAUGGACCGAGCUGAUAGUGACGGUACCGGGAGAAGAAGCACCGGCUAACUACGUG